GAUGAACGCUGGCGGCGUGCCUAACACAUGCAAGUCGAGCGGAGCGGGGACGGGUGAGUAAAACGUGGAGAACCCCCUAUAAGACUGGGAUAAAUUCGGGGAAACGGAGCAAAACCGGAUACUUAUAGAUGGAUCCGAGACGCAUUAGGUAGUUGGUAAGGUAACGGCGUACCAAGUCAACGAUGGGUAGCCGACCUGGGAGGAUGAUCAGCCACACUGGAACUGAGACACGGUCCAGACUCCUACGGGAGGCAGCAGUGGGGAAUAUUCCACAAUGGGCGAAAGCCUGACGGAGCAAUGCCGCGUGAGUGAAGAAGGUCUUCGGAUCGUAAAACUCUUUUAUUAGGGAGGCGUUACUCACUCAAAAAGCCACGGCUAACUACGUGCCAGCCGCCGCGGUAAUUC
rnacentral:rRNA from 1 species